UACGGAGGGUGCAAGCGUUAUCCGGAUUCACUGGGUUUAAAGGGUGCGUAGGUGGGCAGUUAAGUCAGUGGUGAAAUCUCCGAGCUUAACUCGGAAACUGCCAUUGAUACUAUCUGUCUUGAAUAUCGUGGAGGUAAGCGGAAUAUGUCGUGUAGCGGUGAAAUGCUUAGAUAUGACAUAGAACACCAAUUGCGAAGGCAGCUUACUACCCGAAUAUUGACACUGAGGCACGAAAGCGUGGGGAUCAAACAGG
rnacentral:rRNA from 1 species